GAUGAACGCUAGCUACAGGCUUAACACAUGCAAGUCGAGGGGCAGCGUGGAGCAGCAAUGCUCUGACGGCGACCGGCGGAAGGGUGCGUAACACGUGAGCGACUUGCCCGUCACAGGGGGAUAACCGGCGGAAACGGCGACUAAUACCCCAUAUGAUGCGAUGCUGCAUGGCAUUGCAUUGAAAGAUUCAUCGGUGGCGGAUAGGCUCGCGGGACAUUAGCUAGACGGCGGGGCAACGGCCCACCGUGGCGACGAUGUCUAGGGGUUCUGAGAGGAAGGCCCCCCACACUGGGACUGAGACACGGCCCAGACUCCUACGGGAGGCAGCAGUGAGGAAUAUUGGUCAAUGGGCGGAAGCCUGAACCAGCCAUGCCGCGUGAAGGACUAAGGCCCUAGGGUCGUAAACUUCUUUAGACGCAGAGCAAUAAGGUCCACGUGUGGACCGAUGGGAGUAUGCGUAGAAUAAGCAUCGGCU
rnacentral:rRNA from 1 species